GGGGUGUGGAAAGUCACUGGUGGAAAUAUU
rnacentral:piRNA from 1 species